UACAGAGGUCUCAAGCGUUGUUCGGAUUCAUUGGGCGUAAAGGGUGCGUAGGCGGCGUGGUAAGUCUGGUGUGAAAUUUCGGAGCUUAACUCCGAAGCUGCAUUCGAUGCUGCUGUGCUUGAGGACUGGAGAGGAGACUGGAAUUUACGGUGUAGCAGUGAAAUGCGUAGAGAUCGUAAGGAAGACCAGUGGCGAAGGCGGGUCUCUGGACAGUACCUGACACUGAGGCACGAAGGCCAGGGGAGCAAACGGG
rnacentral:rRNA from 1 species